GUGUACCCAAUAAAUACACAACA
rnacentral:snRNA from 1 species